CUGCUGAUUACCAUGACCGUGACAUGGCUUUGAAAAGCACAUCUCAUCGCUGCCUGGUGACUCCUUUCAGAGGCUCCCCCAGGGCAGGUUGUUUUGCAACCAGACAAUGAAAUCCAAAUUUACUAGGUACUUUAUUUUGGAGGUUGAGAGGGAAACAAAAAUUCUUCAAUUAAUUGUUCAUCCUAAACCAUACCAUUCUUGCUCAUGCACUAGAUAGAGGGAUAGUGCCAACCCACAUAGACUUAGAAGAGAGCAAGCUGGAGGGCCAGUCUUAACGUCCUUCACCUCCUCCGUUCCUGAGUGUGUCUCCCACUGGCUGUACUCAGUAGAAGCCAGAAAGCCAGGGGGCCCACUGAUGUCAUCAAUUCAGGGAUUUCAAGACACAUUUGAUAUCUUACAGAGCUGAUAGCUGCCGUGCAUAGGGGAAAUAAAUGAGAGGAAUAUGUCUGCAUAGUGGGGGUGCAGCUAGCCUUGGGUAGUGAUUCAUUUAAUAUUCUUUUGGCUGCAAGUAACAGAAUAUCCAAAUAAAAUUGGUGCUAUGAAAAAAAAAA
rnacentral:lncRNA from 10 species